CCUACGGGAGGCAGCAGUGGCUAAUAUUGGACAAUGGGCGCAAGCCUGAUCCAGCCAUGCCGCGUGAGUGAUGAAGGCCCUAGGGUUGUAAAGCUCUUUCACCGGAGAAGAUAAUGACGGUAUCCGGAGAAGAAGCCCCGGCUAACUUCGUGCCAGCAGCCGCGGUAAU
rnacentral:rRNA from 1 species